AGCGAACGCUGGCGGCAGGCCUAACACAUGCAAGUCGAACGAACCUUUCGGGGUUAGUGGCGGACGGGUGAGGAACACGUGGGAACGUGCCUUUAGGUUCGGAAUAACUCAGGGAAACUUGUGCUAAUACCGAAUGUGCCCUUCGGGGGCAAGAUUUAUCGCGCUUAGAGCGGCCCGCGUCUGAUUAGCUAGUUGGUUGAGGUAAUGGCUCACCAAGGCGACGAUCAGUAGCUGGUCUGAGAGGAUGAUCAGCCACAUUGGGACUGGGACACGGCGCAAACUCCGACGGGAGGCAGCAGGGGGGAAUCUUGCGCAAUGGGCGAAAGCCUGACGCAGCCAGGCCGCGUGAAUGAUGAAGGUCGUAGGAAUGUAAAAUUCUUUCACCGGGGACGAUAAUGACGGUACCCGGAGAAGAAGCCCCGGCUAACUUCGU
rnacentral:rRNA from 1 species